UACAGAGGGGGGCAAGCGUUUGUUCGGAAUUACUGGGCGUAAAGGGCGCGUAGGCGCCUUCUAAGUCGAACGUGAAAUCCCCGGGCUCAACCCGGGAACUGCGUCCGAUACUGGAAGGCUUGAAUCCGGGAGAGGGAUGCGGAAUUCCAGGUGUAGCGGUGAAAUGCGUAGAUAUCUGGAGGAACACCGGUGGCGAAGGCGGCAUCCUGGGACCGGCAUUGACGCUGAGGCGCGAAAGCCAGGGGAGCAAAGCGGG
rnacentral:rRNA from 1 species